rnacentral:rRNA from 1 species
ACGGAAGGCAGCAGUGGGGAAUAUUGCACAAUGGAGGAAACUCUGAUGCAGCGACGCCGCGUGAGUGUAGAAGUAUUUCGGUAUGUAAAGCUCUAUCAGCAGGGAAGAUAAUGACGGUACCUGACUAAGAAGCCCCGGCUAAAUACGUGCCAGCAGCCGCGGUAAUACGUAUGGAGCAAGCGUUAUCCGGAUUUACUGGGUGUAAAGGGAGCGUAGACGGCAUAGCAAGUCUGAUGUGAAAUCCCCGGGCUCAACCCGGGAACUGCAUUGGAAACUGUUAAGCUAGAGUGCAGGAGAGGUAAGUGGAAUUCCUAGUGUAGCGGUGAAAUGCGUAGAUAUUAGGAGGAACACCAGUGGCGAAGGCGGCUUACUGGACUGUAACUGACGUUGAGGCUCGAAAGCGUGGGGAGCAAACAGGAUUAGAUACCCUGGUA